AACGAACGCUGGCGGCAUGCCUAACACAUGCAAGUCGAACGAGACCUUCGGGUCUAGUGGCGCACGGGUGCGUAACGCGUGGGAACCUGCCCUUAGGUUCGGAAUAACUCCCCGAAAGGGGUGCUAAUACCGGAUAAUGUCUUCGGACCAAAGAUUUAUCGCCUUUGGAUGGGCCCGCGUUGGAUUAGCUAGUUGGUAGGGUAAAAGCCUACCAAGGCGACGAUCCAUAGCUGGUCGGAGAGGAUGAUCAGCCACACUGGGACUGAGACACGGCCCAGACUCCUACGGGAGGCAGCAGUGGGGAAUAUUGGACAAUGGGCGAAAGCCUGAUCCAGCAAUGCCGCGUGAGUGAUGAAGGCCUUAGAGUUGUAAAGCUCUUUUACCCGGGAUGAUAGUGACAGUACCGGGAGAAUAAGCUCCGGCUAACUCCGUG
rnacentral:rRNA from 1 species